rnacentral:misc_RNA from 1 species
UCGAGUGGCGGAGCCCCAGCGCUCCCGACCCUCCAUCCCGAGCGUACCCUCCUCUCUACCUGGCCCGCCCCGCCUGCGUGCGAACGCGCGGUGGCGGCCGCCAAUUUGACCCUGACCACAACGACCUUUCAGUCUGAGUUUUUUGGUUAAUUUGAUAAACA